rnacentral:rRNA from 1 species
UACGUAGGGUGCAAGCGUUAAUCGGAAUUACUGGGCGUAAAGCGUGCGCAGGCGGUUAUGUAAGACAGAUGUGAAAUCCCCGGGCUCAACCUGGGAACUGCAUUUGUGACUGCAUAGCUAGAGUACGGUAGAGGGGGGAUGGAAUUCCGCGUGUAGCAGUGAAAUGCGUAGAUACCAGGAGGAACACCGGUGGCGAAGGCGGUUUCCUGGCCGAGUACUGACGCUGAGGCACGAAAGCGUGGGGAGCAAACAGG